CUUCCAGGGUCAGGGAAUUCAGCUGGAUCUGCCCUAAUCUUUCUUGUCAUAUGUUACUAAAUAUCCCUCUAUCUCUAAUCUGCAACGUUGUAUCUAUUUCC